AUCACUUGUCCUUUAAAUGAAGACCUGUAUGAAUGGCUAGACGAGGGCUUAACUGUCUCCUCCCCCCAGUCAAUGAAAUUGAUCUCCCCGUGCAGAAGCGGGGAUUCUCCCAUAAGACGAGAAGACCCUAUGGAGCUUUAGACACUAGACGGCCUACGUUAAGCUCCCUACUCUAAUGGGGAAAAGCAUUAUAGCCCCCGUCUCUCCUGUCUUCGGUUGGGGCGACCGCGGAGGACAAAAAGCCUCCAUGUGGACCAGGGUCACAGACCCCACAGCUGAGGGCUGCGGCCCCAAGCAACAGAAAAUCUGACCAAAAUGAUCCGGCAAAUUUGCCGAUUAACGGAACAAGUUACCCUAGGGAUAACAGCGCAAUC
rnacentral:rRNA from 1 species